rnacentral:tRNA from 2 species
GGCGGGGUAGCUCAGAGGUUAGAGCACUCGCUUCAUAAGCGAGGAGUCGUGGGUUCAAUUCCCACCCCCGCUAC